GAAGAGAAAUAGACUAGAACAUCAUAGGCUUAAUGAUCUUGUGUAUGUUCAUUACAACUUGCGAUUGAAGAAUAGGAGGGAUUACAAAACAAGGAAUUAUGAUCCCAUUGACAUUGAAAGCAUUGACAAAACCGAGUUUUGGAUUAUUGAAGAAAAAAGACUAGAACAAGAGGAGCCUCCAUUGCUUGAUUAUGAUGAGCUCGAAAAAAUGCUUUAUGAAGAAGAUGAGCCUCCACGAUAUAAGAAGCAAUGUCAUGGUCUACGAGAUGAUGAUGUUGAGGAUGAUAUGGAGGUAGAACUUCUUGGAGAUGAUAUCGACUUGGGAUCUUUUGGUGACGUGAACAUUGAUAAUAGAUCAAACAAUCCGAGCUCUAGUGCAAAUGCGAAUGAGAAUGAUGAUGAUGAUUGGCUAAAUUAUCGUCCCUAGGAGAUUUAGG